AAUAGAACCCGGGUAGUCCACGCCGUAAACGAUGAGUGCUAAGUGUUAGGGGGUUUCCGCCCCUUAGUGCUGCAGCUAACGCAUUAAGCACUCCGCCUGGGGAGUACGGUCGGCAAGACUGAAACUCAAAGGAAUUGACGGGGGCCCGCACGAAGCGGUGGAGCAUGUGGUUUAAUUCGAAGCAACGCGAAGAACCUUACCAGGUCUUGACAUCCCGCUGACCGCUAUGGAGACAUAGCCUUCCCUUCGGGGACAGCGGUGACAGGUGGUGCAUGGUUGUCGUCAGCUCGUGUCGUGAGAUGUUGGGUUAAGUCCCGCAACGAGCGCAACCCUUGAGAUUAGUUGCCAUCAUUCAGUUGGGCACUCUAAUCUGACUGCCGGUGAUAAACCGGAGGAAGGUGGGGAUGACGUCAAAUCAUCAUGCCCCUUAUGACCUGAGCUACACACGUGCUACAAUGGACGGUACAAACGGUUGCCAACCCGGCGAGGGGGAGCCAAUCCGAUAAAACCGUUCUCAGUUCGGAUUGUAGG
rnacentral:rRNA from 1 species